CGGAGGAAAAGAAACUAACAAGGAUUCCCCUAGUAACUGCGAGUGAAGCGGGAAGAGCUCAAAUUUUAAAUCUGGCAGUCUCUUGGCUGUCCGAGUUGUAAUCUAGAGAAGUGUUUUCCGCGCUGGACCGUGUAUAAGUCUCCUGGAAGGGAGCGUCGUAGAGGGUGAGAAUCCCGUCUUUGACACGGACUACCAGAGCUAUGUGAUGCGCUCUCGACGAGUCGAGUUGUUUGGGAAUGCAGCUCAAAAUGGGUGGUAAAUUCCAUCUAAAGCUAAAUAUAGGCGAGAGACCGAUAGCGAACAAGUACCGUGAGGGAAAGAUGAAAAGAACUUUGGAAAGAGAGUUAAACAGUACGUGAAAUUGCUGAAAGGGAAACGCUUGAUGUCAGUCACGUUGGCUGGGGAUCAACCUUGCUUCUCGCUGGGUGUACUUCCCAGUCGACGGGUCAGCAUCAGUUUCGGUCGCCGUACAAGGGUGAGGGGAAUGUGGCACUCUUCGGGGUGUGUUAUAGCCUUUUGUCGUAUGCGGUGGUCGAGACUGAGGAGCUCAGCACGGCUUCGGCUUGUGCUUAGGAUGCUGGCAUAAUGGCCUUAAGCGACCCGUCUUGAAACACGGGACCAAGGAGUCUAACAUGCCUGCGAGUGUUUGGGUGGUAAACCCGGGCGCGUAAUGAAAGUGAAAGUUGAAGACCUCUGUCGUGGAAGGGCAUCGACGCCCCGGAACCUGAGUCUUUUGAC
rnacentral:rRNA from 1 species